GAUGAACGCUAGCGGGAGGCCUAACACAUGCAAGCCGAGCGGUAUUGUUUCUUCGGAAAUGAGAGAGCGGCGUACGGGUGCGGAACACGUGUGCAACCUGCCUUUAUCUGGGGGAUAGCCUUUCGAAAGGAAGAUUAAUACUCCAUAACAUAUUGAACGGCAUCGUUUAAUAUUGAAAGCUCCGGCGGAUAGAGAUGGGCACGCGCAAGAUUAGCUAGUUGGUGAGGUAACGGCUCACCAAGGCGAAGAUCUUUAGGGGGCCUGAGAGGGUGAUCCCCCACACUGGUACUGAGACACGGACCAGACUCCUACGGGAGGCAGCAGUGAGGAAUAUUGGUCAAUGGGUGCAAGCCUGAACCAGCCAUCCCGCGUGAAGGACGACUGCCCUAUGGGUUGUAAACUUCUUUUGUAUAGGGAUAAACCUACCCUCGUGAGGGUAGCUGAAGGUACUAUACGAAUAAGCACCGGCUAACUCCGUGCCAGCAGCCGCAGUAACAC
rnacentral:rRNA from 1 species